GACGAACGCUGGCGGCGUGCUUAACACAUGCAAGUCGAACGGAAAGGCCCUGCUUUUGUGGGGUGCUCGAGUGGCGAACGGGUGAGUAACACGUGAGUAACCUGCCCUAGACUUUGGGAUAACUUCAGGAAACUGGGGCUAAUACCGGAUAGGAGCUCCUGCUGCAUGGUGGGGGUUGGAAAGUUUCGGCGGUUGGGGAUGGACUCGCGGCUUAUCAGCUUGUUGGUGGGGUAGUGGCUUACCAAGGCUUUGACGGGUAGCCGGCCUGAGAGGGGGACCGGCCACAUUGGGACUGAGAUACGGCCCAGACUCCUACGGGAGGCAGCAGUGGGGAAUAUUGCACAAUGGGCGGAAGCCUGAUGCAGCAACGCCGCGUGCGGGAUGACGGCCUUCGGUUUGUAAACCGCUUUCGCCUGUGACGAAGCGUGAGUGACGGUAAUGGGUAAAGAAGCACCGGCUAACUACGUG
rnacentral:rRNA from 1 species